GGAUGCAAAGCAGGUAGGCGCCUCUCCAAUUCUGGCGCCUACCUGCUUUGCAUCCCUUUGCUGAGCGGAUAGCGCCGGGCCUGGCGGCUCUCAUUCAAUCAGCCGCAAACAUGCUCUUUCCAUAAACCUUUGCAGCAGUAAGUGGGUGAAGCACCCUCAGGGGAAUUGAGCUUACAACAGUGUGAUUCCGAAUAUACACACACACAUGCUACGAACCCACCAGCUUUAUAUAAUACUGGACAAAUUCUGGACUCACCCGGGGACGCUCGGGUUCAUCAGCCCAAAUGGAGAGGCACUGCUUCUUAGCACAGCACACAGCACAUCAGUUACAUUUGUUCCAAUUGUCUGGGAUGAAGUCCAAAUAUAUUAGGUAACAAGCAGGGAGAUAUACAGAAGGACAGUAUGAGAGAUGAACAAUACUAUACAGCAAGGACAGGAGAAGGUAGGACAUACUGUACUUAUCUCGGGUGUGAUACGCGUGCGCAACGUUCAGGAUGCCGGCAGUCAGAAGACCGACAGAGGCAUACCGAUGGAGGGAAUCCAGACAGUGGUAUGCCUAACCAUAGACCUCUAUGAUAUAGGGAAUUUUUAAAGUCCAGUUUUUCCAACUUCUGAAGCAUCAAAUCUCCAUGGAUUAUACCAGCAAAUUUUAUCCGUAAUUUCUCCUGAUGGUCAAAUUUAUCUCUCAAAUCCUGAACGCAGACCGUCUGGAAACGCAGUCAUCUGCUUCACACAGGAGACGGACGAUUCCCAGAGCUGACUUUCGCACCGCUGGCAUCACCUAAACCGCAGAAGAAUGAUUCUGGUUUUAUAAAUUGCAGAUUAAGGUGUACCUGUUACCUUCACAGUCAGCCAUUUUGUGGGCUGAUCGAAUGUUCAUAUGGUCACAAUAGAUUUACUUUUAACAUGGAAAAAUUGUAAUUUUACUUAAAACUAUAUUUUCUAUCGUUAAUUUAAUCCAACCACCCACCCUACACUACAUGAUUACAUGUGAACGGAUUGUUAUCGAGUGGGAACAGACACGUGAUUCUGCACACUUCUCCAAAACUACGAAGAGGGGCAAAUUAGGGUCACACGUGUGCUCAGGGGGUUCUGGACUGGCUGGUGAAGGGGUAAGAGAACCUGUACAUGUGCGUUAGUGAUUUCAUGAUGUGAAUUUAGAGACCAUUUAUUUCAUAUUGGUUGAUUUUUUAUUUUUGUGCUCAGUGUGGACUACCUCACUAAUUUAUGUUUCAAGACUAGUAACGAAACAAAAAAUUAAGGAUAUUAAUUUUAUUAUUAUCAGCCAGGAUUAUUCAGGUUUGUCCAGUCAACAAGGGUGUGAUACAGAAGAUCUACAUUCAUUAGGUCUACAGUCUUUAGACAAAGACAAAGGGUUGACAUAUGAAAUGUCGACACUUGAAAAGGUACAAAAGGUUGGACAGGGUCAAAAUGGUCGACAUGACAAUGAUCGGCACAAAAUGGUAGACAGACUUUUUUGCAUUUUGGGGGUUAGUGUGGAUAGUUUUGUCAUCUGGGACAACCAUUUGCAGAAAGGCGACCCCUUGCGGGCUCGCCACGCUUCGGGCACGGUGUCUCGAUUCACUCGCCACAAGGUUACUAAAGGUUAUAAUUUGUGACAUGGAUAGUUAAGGAAGGAAUAAGUCCAAAAAUAUAUAAAAAAACAACAUUUGUUGACCAUUGUCUUGUCGACCAUAUGAACCUGUCGACGUUUCCAGUAUUGACCUUUCAUAUGUUGACCUUUUGUCCAUGUCGACCUUGUGUCUGUCGACCAUAUGGGGUUGACCUAUUGACUGUCGACCUAUAGUCUGGAUCCCAGUCAACAAGGUUAUUACUGUACUAGUAAAAUGGUCCCAUCACCUCAGUCGCCCCCUCCCAAUUCAGCCCAUCCUCACCCCAGCCCUCCCCGCUGUGUUCCCUACCCCUCUCCCGGUCCUUUUCUUCACCUGGUCUGUCCCAUUAUGUCAGACAGAGCUCUCACCGCACAUGACAGAGAUGAGACAGUUUACAGCAUUAUAGAGUAUUAUAGAUAGGUAACGUAAGCCUCAUCUAGGUUUGGAUGCAUGUGGGCCUGAACUUUAGCAGCAAAAAUGCAUCAAUGAAAAAGCACAUUUGCUCAGUCUGACUAAUCUCAAAAUGUGCACUGAUCUACAACAGUAACAUAGGGGGUAAUUCAGACCUGAUCGCAGCAGCAAAUUUGUCAGCAGUUGGGCAAAACCAUGUGCACUGCAGGUGUGGCAGAUAUAACAUGUGCAGAGAGAGUUAAAUUUGGGUGGGUUAUCUUGUUUCUGUGCAGGGUAAACACUGGCUGCUUUUUUUUUACACUGCAAUUUAGAUUUCAGUUUGAACACACCCCACCCAAAUCUAAAUCUUUCUGCACAUGUUAUAUCUGACCCCCCUGCAGUGUACAUGGGGGGUCAUUCCGAGUUGAUCGCACGUGGCAACUUUUUGCUGCCUGUGCGAUCAACUCGACGACGCCUAUGGGGGAGGGCUUUUUUGCAUAGCAAGGCUGCAAACGCUUGUGCAGCCCUGCUAUGCACAAAAAGUUUUGUGUGGAACUAGACCAGGGUAACAGUUACUUACACUGGGCGAUCGAUCCAGCGAUGCAGGUCCCGGAAUUGACGUCAGACAUCCGCCCUCCAAACGCCUGCGUUGGACUCACCACUCCCAGAAAACGGUGAGUUGACACCCCGGAAUGCCUUCCUGCUGUCAAUCUUCUUGCGAUCGCAUCAGCGAUAGCGUUCUUCGUUUUUCUGGUCGUUGCCCGGCAACGGCUGUUGCCGGGCAGCGACACGCAUGCGCAUUGCGGCCGCCGUGCAGGUGCAGAACCGACCCGUUCGCACCGCUGCGACAACCAGCAGCGUGCGAACAGGUCGGAAUGACCCCCAUGGUUUUGCCCAACUGCUAACAUAUUUGCUGCUGCGAUCAACUCUGAAUUAAGCCCAUAAGCAUCAUGUGUCUAGUUUAUAUACUUAUGGCCUAAGAUAGCAUAGAGUUAGUUAGUUAUUAGUUAGUUAAUUAAUUGGUAAAAGGGAACUUUAGUUAGGAAUGAUAUAUAAUCCUCUUUAAGUGCACAGCGUGAUAGGACUUUGGUUAAUCACUGUUCUAGAUAUACGAUGUGUAAUUAAGGAUGCAAGAUUGAUAUUCAAAUAGGGUUGUAAUAUUUUACAGCUAAUACAGUAUUUAGUAGGUCAGUUGGCAUUUUUGUCUAGAAAUGUAAUAGGGCUGUAAGUUCUUGCUGAGUUAGAUAAGAAUAUAGAUUAAUCAUAUUAAUGAUAUUACAUUACUGUUAUAUUAUGUUGCAUAGUUGUUAGGAAAAGGGCUGUACUGUAGAUUAAACAUUAAUUGUCUUGUGAUUGUGACAAAAUUCCCAAUAUCUUUUCUGGUUCUUUAAAGAUUCAUGCCCAAUCAGAGCCAUAAUAGGGGUUUAAUGCAACCUGUGCAGGCCCUGCUUCCUUUGCACAUGACGUCAUUUGCACCUGGAAGCGCAGCAGUGCAGCUGUAUACACAUUAGGGUGCAGGUCUGUAAUGUCCAAAGGACGCUACAGGUAGCACUGCUGCAGCGUUACUGGCUGCAGGGUGCCGUUCCAGCAGAGCCGGCCCUAAGCAUAGGCAAACAUGGCAAAUUCCUUGUUCAUUUGGUAUGCCUAGGGGCACAAGCAGCUUCUGCUGAAUAAAAUGAUAUGCGGCUUGCACAUAUUCUGUGUGUGGCUGUGACU